AAUCAACGCUGGCGGCGUGCCUCAGACAUGCAAGUCGAACGCGAAAGGUUCCUUCGGGAGCCGAGUAGAGUGGCGCUCGGGUGAGUAACACGUAGGUAAUUUGCCUUUGGGUGGGGAAUAACAAUCGGAAACGGUUGCUAAUACCGCAUAAUGCAGCGGCUCGACAUCGAGACAGUUGUUAAAAGCGGGGGAUCCUUCGGGACCUCGCGCCUAAAGAGAAGCCUGCGGCGGAUUAGCAGUUGGUGAGGUAAUGGCUCACCAAGGCGACGAUCCGUAACCGGCCUGAGAGGGCGGACGGUCACACUGACACUUAAAUACGGGUCAGACUCCUACGGGAGGCAGCAGUCGGGAAUUUUGGGCAAUGGGCGAAAGCCUGACCCAGCAACGCCGCGUGAAGGAUGAAAUCCCUCGGGAU
rnacentral:rRNA from 1 species